rnacentral:rRNA from 1 species
AUGAAACUGGCAGACUGCCGCCCAUCUUUAGUCACACUCGAGACCAGAGAGACUGAAAUAGGAGGCGCUGGGAUAGGCUUGUCUUUCUGGAGGAAACAGUUCUUCAAGAGCUCACUUGCACAAAGUCUUUCAGCUGCCGGAGCCAAACAGAUUUCUAUGAAACCUCUUACUUCUGCAUCUUCAACCUUGGAAAGCACAGCUGGUUUUAUACCCUAUAUAAAACAUUGGACGAAAAUCAGUUGCUGUUUGAUAGAUAAUCUUCAAAGGAGAUGGGUACUUUGUGGACCACAAAGCACUUACUUCAGAAAUUUUCUUGUAUAUCCAUGGCUUGCCUUCGCAUUCACUGUAUGGAUAUUCACACGUCACCAUUUCAAGCAUGCACAUCCCAAAUGA